rnacentral:lncRNA from 1 species
GUGACCAUAUUCAGUGGGAUUUUGCUUUUUUGGCUGGAUAAUAUUCGACUAUCACAAAGCUAUAAUUUCUGGUUUAGAAAGAAGAUGGUGUUGUUUGCAGCCUCGUGUCCCAGAGAAGCCUGAUGUGACGUACUGCAGUGCACAUCCCGAAGUUUGAGUUUAUUCUAAGAGAGAUGCAAACGUAAAAGGUUUGUGUUUCCUAGUCCUGCAGGCGGGGUGAGGAUGGUCUCUGCUCACAAAGAGGUGCUGGUGACUGGAUGGAAUGAAUCACUGCAAUUCAACCCCUACCCACUGAAAUACAGCAGCACACGCUGAAGUGUAAGUACAUGAGUAAAACUGAGCACAGGGGCUUCAAGUUCUGCUGCUAAAUGGGGUAUCAUCUUACCUGGUUUUUGGGGGUGAAAAAAAAA